UCUAUCUAUCUAUAUAUAUAAAAAUGAAUUUCCGUCUGUCUGUCUGUCUGUCUGUCUGUCUGUCUGACCGCUAUGCAUUCGGAAACUACUGAACCGAUCGGUGUGAAAUUUUGUAUGUGGGUACUGUUGGGACCGGGGCAGGUUCUUAGCUUGGUGCGGGACCUCUCCGGUCUCGGGAACGGGGGGCUCCCAUACAGAUGACUUUGCGGGGGACGUCCCUUUGAUGCUGCAUGUCAAAAAACACAGUAGGCAGGCAGUACGACGUUUUCCCGGAAGUACUAAUGAGCGUUCAAAACAAAUAUGUCAACAGUGUAAGUGCUCGAGCAAGGCUGUUUUGGCCUCGGAAUCCGGUUUUCUCUGGGGGAGAUUCAACAUAAUUAAUUGUCCAAACAGACAAUAUUUUUCCACUUCGCUAAGAGCGUAAGGCGAGGAGUACGUUCGCAAUGAUGAUGGUGAGGAUAUUCUUCGGCCCAGCAGGAUACAGGCGAUCUUAGCACAGGUAUAUAUUAGCCCGCAAGGACAAGUCCGACGAUAAUGGGACGCACUGGCAUUCACCGACCGAGAGUUCACAAUUCACCCACGGGUUACGUAUUCCUGAACGAGAAAAACUCUACACUGUUGCGGCAUUUCAAUGUUUUUGUGCAAUUAGACGAAGACCAACAAUGACAUAGAACUCCGAUCUAUACGUUUAUUCCCGAUCAAAAACGUAGGGUCACCUCCUCAAAAGAAUGUAAUUUUUUAAAUCCCAUAUCCCCGCCGAGUUACAUUAAAAAAAAAAUCAAAGUUUCAUUCAAAAAAAAAUAAGCCAAAUAAACAUUGAACAUGA